rnacentral:rRNA from 1 species
GACGAACGCUGGCGGCGUGCUUAACACAUGCAAGUCGAACGGAAAGGCCCUGCUUUUGUGGGGUGCUCGAGUGGCGAACGGGUGAGUAACACGUGAGUAACCUGCCCUUGACUUUGGGAUAACUUCAGGAAACUGGGGCUAAUACCGGAUAGGAGCUCCUGCUGCAUGGUGGGGGUUGGAAAGUCUCGGCGGUUGGGGAUGGACUCGCGGCUUAUCAGCUUGUUGGUGGGGUAGUGGCUUACCAAGGCUUUGACGGGUACCCGGCCUGAGAGGGUGACCGGCCACAUUGGGACUGAGAUACGGCCCAGACUCCUACGGGAGGCAGCAGUGGGGAAUAUUGCACAGUGGGCGGAAGCCUGAUGCAGCAACGCCGCGUGCGGGAUGACGGCCUUCGGGUUGUAAACCGCUUUCGCCUGUGACGAAGCGUGAGUGACGGUAAUGGGUAAAGAAGCACCGGCUAACUACGUG